CUGCACCUCGGCUCCGGGGAGGCUGCACCGGGCACGUGCUGGGCCAGGCGUCUGCGGUAGUGUCUGUUUCCACAACAGGAUUUUCAAGGAAGAUCCUUCUGGCCGUGCUCAUGACGGGGGUUUGGAAUACACAGGUAGUAGCCAGGCCUGAGUUACAACAUCUAGACCACACCAAAGUCCCCAGAAAGUAAAGCCAGUUGCUAUUCCAGGAAUUGCUGAUCUUCAGCUUCAGAUGAACUGUUGACUACCUGGGUGACCCAAAUCCAUCUGUCAGGGAGCUUAAUAUCUAGACGCAGCUACAGGAAGGAACUGGUGUGUGGGUGGAGGUAAAUUGGUGAGAAAUCUACUGCAGCAAGUGGGGCUGGUGCCAAUUAAAACUGGGUUUCUCUCUCUGGUGUUACUGUGGCCUGUAGCAGAAGACACAGAUGCAUGGAAGGUCUGCACUUCUAUCACUGUGCAG